GACUCCCCACUGAGCAGGCUCACCAGUGUCCCGACAGCCGGGCAGAUCAUGGGGACGGGGAAUUCUGAGCAGAACCUCUUCAGAAGUUGAGUCUCAAGGGGCCUUGGGGAACUUGGUCAGCAGAUGGCAAGACUUCAUCUGUCAGUGGGCGGGUCAGCUCAGCGGGACUCCUGUCUUUGGAACUGAGACUCAAGUCUCUACUCUGUACCAAGACAGAGAUGGAGGCCAGGAAACAAGACACACAACCAUUUUCCAUCAUCGAGGGGCAAGGCAGGGCUUGGCAUGAGGCAGAACCAGGCUCCAUCAAUGCCACAUCCUGAGGACGUGAUAGGAUUUCAUUCCCGCCCCACCUUGUGGUUGGAUGGAAUCAUGUGCCCAAUUCUGGUCAAGAUCAAGAAACUGAGAAACAAAGCAAAUCCGUGGGAUGCAGAGGGUACGCUGAUGACUUCUGCUGGGGAGAGAAGCCCAAACACACGUCCUGGGCAGAGCCCAGAGACCUGGAGUGUGGCUGCCAGUGGGCACCCGGCUGAGGGACAAGCAGGUGGGCCUCAGUGGUGGCUGCCAGGUCCCUGGACGCAGGGGGCCACCGGCUUUGCCUCUCCUCUGCCUCGGAAGCACCGGAGGCUUUGGGGAUCUGGUGGUCCUCCGGCCCUGAACGUGGACCUGGUGUGACAAAGGGAAGUUUGCCAUCUCCAUCCUCCUCAAGCUGCCUGUGCACCCCAGUAGCACUCACCCUCUCUGUGCUCCCGUCUGCACCGCAUGUCCUGGGGUCCUUCUUUGUGCUGCACCCAGUGACAGGAACCAGUGUCCCGACUGUGACUUAC